UUGAAGAGUCUAAUCAUGGCUCAGAUUAAACGCUGGCGGCAGGCCUAACACAUGCAAGUCGAGCAGCAGCAAAAAAAGCUUGCUUCUUUGCCAGCGAGCAGCAGACAAGUAAGUCAAGUAAGUUAUGAGGAUCUAGCCAAAAGCAAGAGAUAACCACUCCACUAAAAACGGUGGCUAAUACCGCAUAAUCUCUAAAAAGCAAAGUGAAAAACCAUUCUGGCCUCAAACCUUCGGAUAAACCCAUAUCAGAUAAACUCAUAUAAGAUUAGCUAGUAGUUAAGGUAAUGGCUCACCUAAGCGAUGGUCUCUAGCUAGUCUGAGAAAAUGAUCAGCCACACUAAAACUGAGACACGGCCAAAACUCCUACAAGAAGCAGCAAUAGAGAAUAUUGCACAAUGAGUGUAAGCUUGAUACAGCGAUGCCCAGUGUAUACGUGUAUAAAGAAAGAAGGCCUUCAAGUUGUAAAGUCCUUUCAGUCGUGAAGAAAGUAUUAAGGUUAAUAACCAAAGUAUUAAGGUUAAUAACCUUGGCAAUUGACGUUAGCGACAGAAGAAGUACCGGCUAACUCCGUGCCAGCAGACGCGGUAAUACGGAAAAUGCGAAAGCACGCAAGCGAUUAAUUAAGUUAGAUGUAAAAUCUCCAGGCUUAACCUAAAAAUAGCAUUCAAGAGUAAUUAGCUAAAGUCUUGUAGAGGGAGUAAAAUUCCAUGUGUAGCGGUCAAAUGCCUAGAAAUGUGGAGAAAUACCGGUGGCAAAAACGGGGCCCCUAGACAAAGACUGACGCUCAUGUGCGAAAGCGUAGAGAGCAAACAAAAUUAAAUACCCUGGUAGUCCAAUGUAAACGAUGUCAAUUUGAAGGUUGUGUUCAUAAACUGUGGCCUCCGGAGUUAACGCGUUAAAUCGACCGCCUAGGGAGUACACCCGCAAGGUUAAAACUCAAAUGAAUUGCCGAGGGCCCGCACAAGCAGUAAAACAUGUGGUUUAAUUCGAUGCAACCCGAAAAACCUUACCUACUCUUGACAUCCAGAAAAUCCUUUAGAGAUAGAGAAGUGCCUUCAAGAGCGCUCAGACAGGUGCUGUAUGGCUGUCGUCAGCUUGUGUUGUGAAAUCUUAGGUUGAGUCCCGCAACGAGCACAACUCUUAUCCUUUGUUGCCAGCGAUUCGGUCCGGAACUCAAAAGAGACUGCCGGUGAUAAACCGGAGAAAGGCGGAGAUGACGUCAAGUCAUCAUAGCCCUUACGAGUAGGGCUACACACGUGCUAAAAUGGCGUAUACAGAGAGAAACAAGCCAGCGAAGGGAAGCCAAACUCAAAAAGUACGUCGAAGUCCAGAUUAGAGUCUGCAACUCGACUCCAUAAAGUCGGAAUCGCUAGUAAUCUCGGAUCAGCAUGUCGCGGUAAAUACGUUCCCGGGCCUUGUACACACCGCCCGUCAAAGCAUGGGGGUAAGUUGCAAAAGAAAUAGGUAGCUUAACCUUUUUAGAUGGCGCUUACCAGUUUGUGAUUCAUGACUAGGGUGAAGUCGUAACAAGGUAACCGUAGGAGAACCUGCGGUUAGAUCACCUCCUU
rnacentral:rRNA from 1 species